rnacentral:rRNA from 1 species
GGCGGAUGGGUGAGUAACGCGUGGGGUAACCUGCCUUACCCAGGGGGAUAACAACUGGAAACAGUUGUUAAAACCCCAUAAGCGCACAGAUACACAAGUAUUAGUGUGAAAAUAUUUUAUAGGUGUAAGAUGGGCCCGCGUCUGAUUAGUUAGUUGGUGAGGUAACGGCUCCCCAAGGCAACGAUGGAUAGGGGGACUGAGAGGUUUAUCCCCCACGCUGGUACUGAGACACGGACCAGACUCCUACGGGAGGCAGCAGUGAGGAAUAUUGGUCAAUGAGCGAAAGCUUGAACCAGCCAAGUCGCGUGAAGGAUGAAUGUCCUAAGGAUUGUAAACUUCUUUUAUACAGGAAUAAUAGUUGCCACGUGUGGCGGCCUGCAUGUACUGUAUGAAUAAGGAUCGGCUAACUCCGUGCCAGCAGCCGCGGUAAUACGGAGGAUCCGAGCGUUAUCCGGAUUUAUUGGGUUUAAAGGGUGCGCAGGCGGGAGAUUAAGUCGGCGGUGAAAUUUUGCGGCUCAACCGUAAAAGUGCCUUCGAAACUGGUUUUCUUGAGUGUAGAUGAAGUAGGCGGAAUUUGUGGUGUAGCGGUGAAAUGCAUAGAUAUCACGAGGAACUCCGAUUGCGCAGGCAGCUUACUAAACUACAACUGACGCUCAUGCACGAAGGCGUGGGGAUCAAACAGGAUUAGAUACCCUGGUAGUCCACGCAGUAAACGAUGAUUACUAGUUGUUUGCGAUACACAGUAAGCGACUGAGCGAAAGCAUUAA